rnacentral:tRNA from 1 species
GCCUGGGUGGCUCAGUCGGUUAAGUGUCCGACUUCAGCUCAGGUCAUGAUCUCACGGUUUGUGGGUUCGAGCCCCGCGUCAGGCU